CCACCUCCCUGGGAUCCUGGGGGUGAGAAGGCCUCGCUGUAGCACGGGGCUGGGUUUCUGCCAGGGAUGAGCCGCGUCCCAUGCCCCGGGAUGCCCCUCAGGAGCCCGCUUCCUCCAGGAAGCCCACCCUGACUGGAACACCGUGCGCAGGUUGGCUCUCUCCCCGGGGGCCUGCCAUGCCCCAGUUACCAACGCUGGAUGAUGGGCUGCUGGUCACCAGCUGCUUCCCCCUAUGUGCGGGGCCCCCCUUCCUUCUGGGGCCUCCUCUCCCAUGUGUUCAGACCUUGUUGGAGCCUGAGGUUGGCACAGCCCCCCUCCCCCCCGAGCUCUGUACACACUUAAGCCCAGACUGACCUCGGGCCUCAGUUCCCAGCCUGGAGUAAAUGAGUCCCAAGUUCCCCUCUGGCUGUCAGGCUGGGGGCCACAGGUGGACACUGCCUCCCCUCCCCCCUCUGCAUCUGCCCUAUCUGGGGACUCUAAUUGGGAGAAAACUUUCCUAAUACUGAAUUUUGCAGAAACUCACACGUUCCUUUGUUUGAGCCUCACCCCGAACUAUUACCCCCGUUUUACACGUGAGGAAACUGAGUCUGGGAGGAGCCUUGCUCAGGGUCUCGACAUCAGCAAAUGUUGGGGGAAGGGAAACUGAGGCACAGAGCAGGGCCGGCUGACUCGGACUCCACCAUGUCUCUGCCCUUAAGCUGGAGAGAGCUGUACAGGUGAGUCUGGGGUCAGGUUCCCCCCCCCAAACGGAAGCCACCUCUCCAGGCAUAGAGACCCGAGCCUGAUCUUGCCGAUUCCCUCCUUUCCCAGAUUCCCCCGCCCUUGCCCUGCUACUCACAGCGGCCAGCAGGUUCCCUUCCUUGCAGGGGGCGGCCCCGCCGCACAGGUGCAUGGUCCGAUUCCCAAGGGAAUUCAGGGGAAUGACAGGGCGCUUCCCAGGGUUCCCUCUGCAGCAGCCUCCCAGGUCCCCGUUGCAGCCUCUGAGGCCCCCGGCGGCUCAGGAAGCGAACGUGGAAAUCUCUGCUGACCACUCCGCCCCCGAGCCCAGUUUCGGUUUCUCUGAAAUCCCGGGGCUGCUCCGAAUCCCGGCCCACGUGGCCGGACUUUCCCAGUGUGACCAAGCUUUCCGGGAGGGCAACAGCCUGCCAGGGGGGGCCGGCUGGGGGGCGGGGACCUGGGAGCCCAGGGGAGAGAUGGGCAGGGCCAGGAGGGGGAAUGCCCCCGGAGGCCCCAGAGAGGGGAGACUUGGGGCUCCCGGCCGGGCCAGCUAAGUCAGCAAGGCCAGAAGCAGCUCGGGGGUCAGACAAAUCCGUGAACUCUCACCACCACGAGCCAAGUGAACUUGACGUCCCUGCCUCAGUGUCCCCACCUGUACAAGGGCUGGAUACCACAGUCCCUUCCUGGGCUAAGUGAGUUGGAUGGAACAGGGGGAAAAGCUGGACCUGGAGGACAGGAGCUGCUUUAAAGCCCACUUCCCAAGGCUUCCUGGCUGUGUGACCAUUACGGGGGCUCUUAGGGGACAGAACAGAGCAAUAUUGGGAGAUGGGACAAGGCUGGGCUCCAAGAGCCAGGUUCAAGUGCUGACACUCUGUGGCUCCAAGACUGUGGCUUUCCUGGCAACAGAAAUAUGGGCAUUGGAGAGGAUGUUCUCUAGAGUCCCGGACACCCCAAAGCCCAGAUGAGAACGCUCCUUGUGGGGGAGGGCAGGUUGAGGCUCCCCUUCAUAGAAAUAAACAUAGUUGAAUUCUGGGUCUCCCCAGGAACCGAAAAGAAAUCUGACUCCGGGAAGACGACACCGGCCUCCCC